UAUAAAUAAAGCUUUACAAAAACAUUAUAAAAAACUACUUCGCAAUGCGAAAUGUAGGGAGCUAUUUCCAAAACCACCAAUGGUGGCGUAUAGUAGACAUCGGAACUUAAAAGAAAUACUCACUAGAUCGGUAGUCAAAGCUUAGUACAAUAUGAAGGAUUGGGUCAGGACCCCUGAUGAAGCACCCACCCUUCAUAUGAGCCACGGAAUAUUAUAGAGUUUGUCCUAUUCUGUACUGCAAAAGCACGAUGUGUUGGGUCCUGGAGAAUAGGCAAACGUGGCUGAUAGGUACUUCCAGACAUUCAACAAAACGAAAAAGGGCGG
rnacentral:lncRNA from 1 species